AGGAGGAUUAAGGCCUGUCUACUCUUAGAAAAUGGCCAAGACAGAUUUCUGCUGAAUCAACAUUACAUACAUCACACAUGUAAAUGAUAUCCUUUGAUUUGUAACCAGGCCUGUCAUUGCAAUAGGCCUGGAGGCCUUGAGAAGGAUUGCACCAUUCCCCACUGGUGGAGAGCCAGGGUGGUCCAUUUGCCACCACUGCAUCCCAGCUUCUCAGCAUUGGACCAGAAAAUCACAUGCUCCUAAUACUCACCGGACCCAGUUGAAAAGUUUGGGAAAUGCUUUCUUUCCACUCCAAACUUUCACAAUGCAAAGUCCUCUGUGAACUUGCCUCUUGUCUCCAGCAUCAUCUGAGUCAGAUUUGUUCUUCUCCAAAGGAAUGGUCAGUUAAGGCAUCAAUGAAACUUCUGUGACGUGACACCCCUGUCCUUCAUUGGUCCCCAUCAGACAGGUAAGGGUUUCAUAUCUGCUCUUCUGACACUUGUACAAGCUUACCAUUAUUUUAAAAUCUUGCCAUUCUUUUACAUUAGUCUGAGCAAUUCCAGGACUAAGAUUCUAACCAGUUUAUUCUUGUAUGAUCCUGCUUAAAGUACAUAGAAGGUGUGCAAGAAAUAAAUACAUUCAUUGGAG
rnacentral:lncRNA from 1 species